CUGGUGAUCAUGGGCGCGGGGUCACACACGUUCCCAUCCCGAACACGAUUGUUAAGCCCGCAGCCGCCAAUGGUAGUGCAGCCCCGCUGUUGUGCGAGAGUAGGUAGUCGCCAGUA
rnacentral:rRNA from 1 species